rnacentral:lncRNA from 1 species
NNNNNNNNNNNNNNNNNNNNNNNNNNNNNNNNNNNNNNCGCCCUCAUUUCCUCCUCGUUUCCUCUCCAUUUCCCCUUCAUUGCCUCCAGCUCCCCCCGACACUUCCCCCCCACUUCCUGUCCACUCACUCCUCAAUUCUCCCAUUUCCUCCUCGCUUCCUCCCUCACUUCCUCCCUCAUUUCCUCCCUCACUUCCUCCUCAUUUCCUCCUCACUUCCUCCUCACUUCCUCCUCACUUCCUCCCCAUUUACUCCCUCAUUUCCUCCUCGUUUCCUCUCCAUUUCCCCUUUCAUUGCCUCCAGCUCCCCCCAACACUUCCCCCCCACUUCCUCUCCACUCACUCCUCAAUUCUUCCAUUUCCCCCUCACUUCCUCCCUCACUUCCUCCCUCACUUCCUCCUCGCUUCCUCCCUCGCUUCCUCCCUCACUUCCUUCUCAUUUUCUCCUCAUUUCCUCCUCACUUCCUCCCCAUUUCCUCCCUCAUUUCCUUCUCAUUUCCUCUCCAUUUCCCCGUCGUUUCCCCUCCACUUCCCCCCAUUUCCCCUCUAUUUCUCCCCCACUUCCCCUCCACUUCCUCCUCAAUUCUUUCACUUCCCCCUCAUUUCUUCCCCAUUUCCUUCCUCAUUUCUCCUCCAUUUUCUCCAACUUCACCUCCACUUCCCCCUCUCAUUUUCUCUCAUUUUCCCCCCAACUUCCCCCUCAUUUCCCCCCACUUCCCCCUCAUUUCCUCCCCACUUCCCCCCCACUUCCCCCUCAUUUCCCCCCACACUUCCUCUUCAUUUCCUCCCCGCUUCCCCCCCACUUCCUCCUCCACUUCCCCCCCGCUUCUCCCCACACUUAUGGGGCGCCCCCCACAUUUCCCCAUAGGGCGGCGUUGGGCUGAAGGGCAACGAGGGACCCCCGGGACCGCCAGGACCUGCGGUAAGCGCCUCUCCGUGGGGCUGCCCCAUAGCGCGCCCCAUAGCUGCCCCAUAACCACCCCAUAGCUGCCCCAUAACCACCCCAUAGCUGCCCCAUAACCACCCCAUAGCUGCCCCAUAACUGCCCCA